UUUAGUUGGAGUGGAGAAUUAAACAGUUUUAUUUGUGUUGUGUGUGCGGCGUUCAACGGUCGGUUCGCGUACGGAAAAAUGUCCAUGCUAAUCUCCAAGUCAAAAGUCCCAACUCAGCAAUAACUUUGCAAAUAACACUGCAGUGUAGCCAGACAAAAAUCUAAAGAAUACAACAAAAUAAAAUUAAAAGCAAAUAUUCCAAUUAGAUUUUUCUAAUCAAAUAAGAGAAAUUGGGCAACGUGAAGCUACUAAUAAAGCCGCUGAAAAAAACGAUUGGUAAAACGCUAUCAAAAAGUGAAAGAAUAACAACAAAAAAUGUUUGCUUUUGGAUUUAACAAAAGAAACAAAAAAGAAAAUUUUUGCAUGAGAUAGAGAAAUGAGAGCAAAGAAUCAAAGAAACCUUUUCCAUUUGCACAGUGUGUUUUGUUUUUCCUCCCAAAAAGUGUUUAUCUCUCAAUGAGUUCUCGUGUGUUGUUUUGUGCCAAAAACAGAGAGAGCAAGAGCGCCAAUUAUAUGUGUACAAGAGUGUGUGUGCGAGUGUUGCAAAUGAAGUUUUAACAUCGUCGUUUGUGUUUGACUAAACUUGGCCGUCAUUUCAGUGUUCUCGUGGAUGAUAGACGGAUGUUUUGUAUUUAAGUUGCUCGUUGCAAAUUAAUUUUGAAAAUUGUGUUGCCAAACAAAUUAUUAAAUGAUUGUGAAAAAAUUCUAGAAAAUUAAAACUGAUUUAUGUGAUUUAUUUAGUGUCAAAUUAAACCAUUUAUGUGAAAAAAAAA